AGGGAAUUGGGAAUAAGAGUGGGAUCUAGGGAAAAGGAGUGGGAUUCCAGGAAAAGGGAGUGGGAACUCGGGGAAAAGGAGUGGGGGAUCGGGAAAAGGGAGUGGGGACUCGGGAAAAAUGAGUGGGGACUCGGGAAAAGCAAGUGGGGACUCGGGAAAAAGGAGUGGGGGAUCAGGAAAAGGGAGUGGGGACUCGGGAAAAGGGAAGGGCGGGGCCCGGGUAAAGGGAAGGGGAUCCCGGGAAAAGUGCUGGGGGCUUCUUCUCGCGGCAGGCCUCCCGGGCCGGGCUGGCUGCGGUCGGGAGAUGGCAGCAGCACUUUGCUCUUUGCUGGGACGGGCCAGGCCGGCCCCCGGGGGCUCUCCCCAUUCCCGGUGGGAUCAGCCCCGCUCCGGGAGCCUCCUGGCCCCGCAGCCGCCUCCGCAAGCCCGGCCCUGCUGAGCUGCCGCGAGAAGAAGCGCUCAGCACGUCCCAGCCCCAAUUCCCACCUGGAAACGCCUGGAGCGCCAUUCCCACCCCGCCCUGGGCAGCUGGGGAUGGAGAGGGAAGCGCUGGGGAAUGGCAGAGCAUCAGCUGAGCUGCCGAAUUUGCUUUGGAGCAGGGUCUGGACCUGGAAUCCAGGCGCUCUGAGCAUUCCCGGUGCUCCAUUCCCACCAGCCUGGGGGUGGUGCCGUGGGGACAUCCAUGGAAAUGUCCCUCGGGAAUGCUGCAGAAGGACGAGGUGCCCUCUGUGGCCCCGAGAGGCCACGGCAGGACCCCGACCCCGACCCUGGGGCCAGCCGGGGUGAAAAGGCUGCUUGGGAGAGGUCAGGAGGAGAAAACCAACCUGCUUUUCUUCGGCAAUUAUGAAGUGACAAAUUACCAGUGAAAGAGCUCAUCUGUCUGGAUUUGUUUGGAGCGUCCCCUCCUCGCCGCAAACCCGAGGCACGGAGAGGGCCGGGAUCACAGCCCCUCUCUUAAGGAUUUCCAAACACUCUGCUGACCCCCCACUCCAUCUCUGUCAGCGCUGGGGAUGCUCAGAAUUGAAGCCGAGCCUUUCCAAACACCCCCAGCUCAGCAUCUCCCACUCUCCCCGGAGCACGGGGAAUGGCAUUUCGCAGGGAAAGCUGGAGUCCCNNNNNNNNNNNNNNNNNNNNNNNNNNNNNNNNNNNNNN
rnacentral:lncRNA from 1 species